CUUGGAAUUGACAGGCCGGAGGUGGGGCCCGAGUUCCUGUCUCCAGCCCACGAUUUGCUGAUCCAUCUGUCUUCCUCAGAGAGAGAGGGCGGAUAAUGCAGACUGCGCUUCCUUGGAAGACGGCAGGCUCCAGGCCAGACAAACGAAGUAUCAACCAUACAGAUGAAGAGCUGAGGCUCAGGGAAGGAAUUUGCCAAGGUCAUGAAGCUGUAAGACACAGAACCUGGGGUGUCUGCCUGCAGAGCUCACACUGACUCUACAGCCACUGAUCCAAAGCUUCAGCAAGGGGGUCUUUCUAGCAGGGCUCCCCCAGAUGAGCAAGAGAUGAAGUGACCCCUCCAACCCCACAGCUCAGAGUCUUUCUUGAAGCUCCAACUCCAGGGCCAUUGUUUUCCUGUUCUCCCCGCUCCAAGGCCUCUCCUCUCUCCUUGGCCCAACUCUCUGACAGUGAUGCAUUCUGAAGGCCAGAUGUUCAAAAUCAGAAUGGCAUUUGCUUGAAGGAUCCAGGGGAGAAUCCCUCCUUGCUUCUUCCAGCUUCUGGUGGCUCAUGGCAAUACCUGGACUUGUAGACAUAUCCCUCCAAUCUCUACUGAUGCCUUCAUAUCACCUUCUCUUCUGUUAGGAGAACACUUGUCAUUGGAUUUAGGAACCACUCUAAUCGAAGAUGAUCUCACGUGUAGUUUAAUUACGUCUAUAAAAUAUGCUUUUCAGUAAGGUCACUUCCAUGCUUUGAAUGCCCCCUCCAAAACUUAAUGUUGAAACUUAAUCCCCAACGUGGCGGUACUGAGAGGUGGGGCCUUUUAGAGCUGGUUGGAUUGUGAAGGUUCUGUCCUCAUGAAUGGAUUAGUUCCAUUCAUGGAUUAAUAAAUUAAUAGGCUUAUGGAUUAGUGGGUUACGAUGGGAGGGGAACUGGUGGCUUUAUAAGAGGAGGAAGAGAGACCUGGGCUAGUACAUUAAGAUUCUCAGCCCCCUUACCAUGUGGUGACCUGUGCCACCUGGGGACACUGCAGAGUCCCCACCAGCAAGAAGGCUCUCACCAGACUUAGCCCCUCAACAUUGGACUUAGCCUCCAUAACUGUAAGAAAUAAAUUCUGGAAGCUGGAAAGCCCAAGAUCAAGGUGCGGACAAAUUCACUGUCUGGCGAGAGCCCUGCUUCCACACAGACUGUUGUAACCUCACAUGGCAGAAAAUGAAAAAAUCUCUCUGGCGUCACUUUUAUAAGGACAUUAAUCCUAUUCAUGAGGGUUCUACCCAUAUGACCUAAUCACCUUCCAAGGCGGUUCUGAUGAAACAUUGCCUGCACAUCUAAGCAAGUCAUGCUUCUGAGGCCAAGCAAAGAAAAUUGCCAAAGAACAACAGUUUCCAGGAUUCACUCACUUUGGACCCCUGCACCUGCUGCUAUGCUACACUGGAGGAAACAGAGCUCCGCAAGACCCUCAGCAACUGCUUCCCAAGUACAUAAGAGGAAAACAAAACAAACCAAACCACCAACACACACACAUGUUCACACAGAUACACACAUGUGUGGGAUAAGAGGCAGAGCUAGAGUCCAUUUUCCAGGUCAGACUUCGGACUCCAAGCCUGACUUUGGAGUGAUUCAAAUCACCUUCCACCUAUUUUGCUGCUUGUUCAGUUCAGUACACGUUAAGAAUGGCCCCCAACCAACAGGGAACUGGUUUGGUUAUCUUCCUUUGCCUUUCAAAUUCACCCAAGCAAAGAUAAAAGUAAGCAUGUCUUCACAAGCAUCCUCUUAAUGAUUCACAGUUUUGUUUAUUCUGCUGAGCUUAAGUCAGAUGUAACUUGACAUUUAUAUUCCCACAUACCUCCUUUCUAUGUGUGUGGGUAUUUUAUUUCAUUUUUCAGUAUAUCUAAAUGGUUCUUCUCAUUCUGCCAGAGUGAAUCUAGUUACAUACGCUUGCUGCAAAAAGGAAGUUUCCAAAUCUGGAGUGUAAUAUUCAAUGGUCUUUUCAGAAGAAAGGCACGUUACUCUCUGUGACAGUAACAUUGCUUCAUAUCCAGACCCAAGUCACAUGAAGGAAUUUUCUUCUGGAAUCCUUAUUUACCAAUACCAAUUUUAAAGAAACAAAAUAACUCCAAAAGAUGAGCUUCUAAGGAAAAGACUGGAUACU
rnacentral:lncRNA from 1 species